rnacentral:rRNA from 1 species
GGAGUUAGCCGGUGCUUCUUCUGUGAGUGAUGUCCUUCCUGCCGGCUAUUAACCCGCAGGCCUUCUUCCUCACUGAAAGUGCUUUACAACCCGAAGGCCUUCUUCACACACGCGGCAUGGCUGGAUCAGGGUUGCCCCCAUUGUCCAAUAUUCCCCACUGCUGCCUCCCGUAGGAGUCUGGGCCGUGUCUCAGUCCCAGUGUGGCUGAUCAUCCUCUCAGACCAGCUACGGAUCGUCGCCUUGGUGAGCCGUUACCUCACCAACCAGCUAAUCCGACAUAGGCUCAUCCGAUAGCGCGAGGCCCGAAGGUCCCCCGCUUUCCCCCGUAGGGCGUAUGCGGUAUUAGCCUGGGUUUCCCCAGGUUAUCCCCCACUACCGGGCAGAUUCCUAUGCAUUACUCACCCGUCCGCCGCUCGCCACCAGGGAGCAAGCUCCCCGUGCUGCCGCUCGACUUGCAUGUGUUAGGCCUGCCGCCAGCGUUCAAUCUGAGCCAGGAUCAAACUCUGAA